rnacentral:rRNA from 1 species
UACGUGGGGUGCAAGCGUUGUCCGGAAUUAUUGGGCGUAAAGAGCUCGUAGGCGGCUUGUCGCGUCGGCUGUGAAAACCUGGGGCUCAACCCCGGGCCUGCAGCCGAUACGGGCAAGCUAGAAUUCGGUAGGGGAGACUGGAAUUCCUGGUGUAGCGGUGAAAUGCGCAGAUAUCAGGAGGAACACCGGUGGCGAAGGCGGGUCUCUGGGCCGAUAUUGACGCUGAGGAGCGAAAGCGUGGGGAGCGAACAGG